rnacentral:rRNA from 1 species
GAUGAACGCUGGCGGCGUGCCUAAUACAUGCAAGUCGAGCGAACGGACGAGAAGCUUGCUUCUCUGAUGUUAGCGGCGGACGGGUGAGUAACACGUGGAUAACCUACCUAUAAGACUGGGAUAACUUCGGGAAACCGGAGCUAAUACCGGAUAAUAUUUUGAACCGCAUGGUUCAAAAGUGAAAGACGGUCUUGCUGUCACUUAUAGAUGGAUCCGCGCUGCAUUAGCUAGUUGGUAAGGUAACGGCUUACCAAGGCAACGAUGCAUAGCCGACCUGAGAGGGUGAUCGGCCACCCUGGAACUGAGACACGGUCCAGACUCCUACGGGAGGCAGCAGUAGGGAAUCUUCCGCAAUGGGCGAAAGCCUGACGGAGCAACGCCGCGUGAGUGAUGAAGGUCUUCGGAUCGUAAAACUCUGUUAUUAGGGAAGAACAUAAGUGUAAGUAACUGUGCACAUCUUGACGGUACCUAAUCAGAAAGCCACGGCUAACUACGUG